CUUUCUCCCUGUCUGCCUGGACCACUAGAUAAGGAGGAAGAAGAUGAGCCUCCCCGUCCGAGCCGAGCGGCCCCCGAGAGACUAACAGAGACUGAUAAGCAGGUGCACCUGGGAGGACUUCGGAUUCGGGAAACCAAUUAUAAUAACCCUGCCUCUUCUAGAAGUAGUAAU